rnacentral:tRNA from 1 species
GACAGUUUAGCUCAGUCAGUUAGAGCAUGGUGCUGAUAACACCAAGGUCACGUGUUCGAUCCCCGUUUGGUCU